AUUGAACGCUGGCGGCAGGCCUAACACAUGCAAGUCGAACGGUAACAGGAAGCAGCUUGCUGCUUCGCUGACGAGUGGCGGACGGGUGAGUAAUGUCUGGGAAGCUGCCUGAUGGAGGGGGAUAACUACUGGAAACGGUAGCUAAUACCGCAUAAUGUCGCAAGACCAAAGAGGGGGACCUUCGGGCCUCUUGCCAUCGGAUGUGCCCAGAUGGGAUUAGCUUGUUGGUGGGGUAACGGCUCACCAAGGCGACGAUCCCUAGCUGGUCUGAGAGGAUGACCAGCCACACUGGAACUGAGACACGGUCCAGACUCCUACGGGAGGCAGCAGUGGGGAAUAUUGCACAAUGGGCGCAAGCCUGAUGCGGCCAUGCCGCGUGUAUGAAGAAGGCCUUCGGGUUGUAAAGUACUUUCAGCGGGGAGGAAGGGAGUAAAGUUAAUACCUUUGCUCAUUGACGUUACCCGCAGAAGAAGCACCGGCUAACUCCGUG
rnacentral:rRNA from 1 species